rnacentral:misc_RNA from 1 species
GGUACCUUCCCUCGAAUAUAAAUGGAGACUUUGAGCUCCACUUCUGCAGAUUGCAAGACCUAACAACAACCCAACACAAUCAUGGGGAAGCUCUCUUUCUUCUCUGUUCUCUCCAUCCUUUCCCUCUCCAUAACCUUAUCGACAGUGACACCACCAAAACAAGCCGCUGCUCUGCCUCUUUCCACCAGUUCACGGUGGAUCGUGGACGAGAACGGCAAAAGAGUGAAGCUAGCAUGCGUGAACUGGGUGUCACAUCUAGAGGUAGUGGUGGCUGAGGGGCUGAGCAAGCAACCCAUGGAUGAGAUUGCCAAGAAGAUUGUGUCCAUGGGAUUCAAUUGUGUGAGACUCACUUGGCCAAUUUUCUUGGUCACUAAUGAUACUUAUGCUUCUCUCACCGUCAGACAAUCCUUUCAAGGCUUUGGUUUGCUUGAAUCCAUUUCUGGCAUCCAGGCUAAUAAUCCCUCCAUUAUUGAUCUUCCCCUCAUCAAGGCUUACCAGGCAGUGGUGUCUAGCCUUGGGGUCCAUAAUGUGAUGGUGAUACUAGACAAUCACAUAAGCAAGCCUGGUUGGUGUUGCAGUAACUUCGACGGCAAUGGCUUCUUUGGUGACACUUACUUUAACCCAGAUCAAUGGAUUAAGGGCUUAACCCAAAUGGCUACCAUUUUUAAUGGUGUCCCUAAUGUGGUUGGCAUGAGCCUUAGGAAUGAGCUUCGAGGCCAGAAACAGAAUGUAAAUGAUUGGUACAGGUACAUGGAGAAAGGAGCUGAAGCAGUGCAUUCAGCUAACCCAGAUAUCCUUGUUAUUCUAUCUGGCCUGAAUUACGACAAAGAUUUGUCAUUCCUGCUUAACCGUCCAGUGAACUUGACGUUCUCUGGAAAAAUAGUAGUUGAGGUACAUUGGUAUGCGUUUUCAGACGGGCAGGCAUGGAAAAAUGGGAACUCUAACCAAGUGUGUGGAAGAGUAGUGAGUAAUAUGAUGAGGGUAUCAGGGUUUUUGUUAGACCAAGGUUGGCCAUUGUUUGUGAGUGAGUUUGGAGUGGAUCAAAGAGGUACAAAUGUGAAUGAUAAUAGGUACUUGGGUUGCUUCCUAGGUGUGGCAGCUGAACUUGACUUGGAUUGGGCUUUGUGGACACUAGCUGGGAGUUAUUAUCUCAGGGAAGGUGUGAUUGGUUCAAAUGAGUUUUAUGGGGUGUUGAAUUGGAAUUGGUGUGACAUUCGGAAUUCAAGCUUCUUGCAACAAAUAUCUGCCCUCCAAUCUCCUUUUCAAGGUAUAUUGUUGCAAAAAUGAUUAGAGGGACAGAAUCAUGCUUUCAUUCCUACACCAGUGUGAAUUUUGCAUAGGACGUGGGUUUCAUAUAUGGAGUUUGAGAAUAUUAGGACAGGCUUCAAUCCUGCAUAAUUAUCUUUCACGUUUGUAACAUCUGGCUAGCUCUCCACUAAUUGGUACUAUAUCCCAUCCUAAAAAAUGUAUCUUAUAAGUAAAGACAUAAGAUUGUGUUUAUGUUAAUGCAGGACCAGGUCUGUCAGACACUAAUCUACAUAAAGUGAUUUUCCACCCAUCAACGGGUCUUUGUGUCCAAAGAAAAUCAAUGAUAGAGCCAUUGAGGUUAGGCCCUUGCAAUGAUUCUGAAGCUUGGAGAUACACACCCCAGAAGACGUUAUCCAUCAAGGGGACAUAUUUCUGCUUACAAGCGGAUGAGUUGGGCAAACCAGCAAAACUUGGAGUAAUUUGCACAGACAGUAAUUCAAAAUGGGAUAUCAUCUCAGAUUCUAAAAUGCAUCUUUCGUCUAAGAUUGCCAAUGGCACAGCCAUUUGCCUAGAUAUAGACUCCGACAACACCAUUGUUAUAAAUACUUGCAAGUGUUUGAGUAGAGAUAACAAUUGCGACCCAGGAAGCCAAUGGUUCAAAUUGGUGAACAGUACAAGAAGCUCAACCAUGGCAAAACCCACUAUUCGAAUGAGUUCAAUCUUGGAUUUGGAGUCCCCAGUAAUACAUUUAUUAUGGAAGUUUUAGGGCUCAGCAUAACAGAAGCACUCAAUGGAGCAACUUGACAAGGAAGUAAACAUUUGAACAGUACAAAAUAUUCAUCAUUAUGUGCACAGAUAUUUAAAAGCAACAUAAAAGGUAAUCAGUGGCAACUUGUAUUUAUCAUGUGUACUUCCCAAAGGAACAUUUCAAAGGCCAAAGCAUGAAAUUCAGGCUUGAAGAAAUAAAGGAGGUUUAGGGGUAUUCCAUAGCCCAAACGAUAGAUUAUUUAAAGAAGACAGUCUUAUCACAGUCACACACAAAUGAUAAAACAGCAGAUUUCAUUUUGAAUUUCUUUUCCAGGAUUUACACUUCAGUGAGAUCAUCAUUUCCUAUAUAAUAUUUUCCUUUUUAUUUCCAUAUUAGUUUUGGAAUGAAAGAGGAGCAAAAUAAUCACCUCUCAUAUUCUGACAGGCCACAUGUCUAACUUUCAAUAACUUGAUGCAUUUCCACAUAAUAUAACAAUGUUAAGAUUCAGAUAUCACAUAUUCAAGCAAGAAGUGAAACAUACUGAUUCAUGUUGCAGAAUACUGAUCAACCACAGGAUUUAUUCUCCCGUUGCUGGCUUCCAACAUUUCUUUCAAAUAAGCAAUCUUUGUCACUAGGACCUCUGCAAACAAGAUUUUGGACUCUUUUCUUUCCCUGACUUUUCGUCAGCUCUCAGAGCUACCAAACAGAAAAUAGAAUUCAAAAUGCUUUAAGACCACCUGAGAAAUGGGUGACCACUGAGCUAAGAAGAGGAAAUUUCAAGUCUGAGAAACAUAAUUCAUGCACGCACACAAGGGACAAGGUGCAGAUGCGGGGCGAUGAAACCUCCCCAAGGAGGGGAGUGAUUCUCCCCGUGUUAUUGAGAAUGAG